GAUGAACGCUAGCUACAGGCUUAACACAUGCAAGUCGAGGGGCAGCGGUAUCGAAAGCUUGCUUUCGGUAGCCGGCGACCGGCGCACGGGUGAGUAACGCGUAUCGAACCUGCCUCAUACUCGGGAAUAGCCUUGCGAAAGUAAGAUUAAUGCCCGGUGUUUUCAGAGUCCCGCAUGAGGCUUUGAACAAAGAUUUAUCGGUAUGAGAUGGCGAUGCGUCCCAUUAGCUUGUUGGCGGGGUAACGGCCCACCAAGGCAUCGAUGGGUAGGGGUUCUGAGAGGAAGGUCCCCCACAUUGGAACUGAGACACGGUCCAAACUCCUACGGGAGGCAGCAGUGAGGAAUAUUGGUCAAUGGGCGGAAGCCUGAACCAGCCAAGUAGCGUGCAGGAAGACGGCCCUCCGGGUUGUAAACUGCUUUUAGUUGGGAAUAAAGCGGGGCUCGUGAGCCCCCUUGCAUGUACCAUCAGAAAAAGGACCGGCUAAUUCCGUG
rnacentral:rRNA from 1 species